UUUAGAGCUCAAAAAUAUCCCCAGCGAUGCAAGUGGCAGAUGAUAUGAUUGACGAAUCAUCCAACGUUUUCUUGGAAUCACUGAAUACUAUGAUUGYUAUGCUCGUUAUUGCUAUAGUAUGCGGACUUGUAUAUGAAGCCUACCGAAGGAAGAAAACCAAAGUCUCAAAAGAUCCCGACAAAUACAAAGUACAGCCUGUCAUCGACGAUGAGUUUCGAGCAGAACUCAACAAACUUCUAUUGGACCUGAAAGARAAUUUAGCAAGAGAAAAGAAAAAAAUGCUCAAAAUUUUAAAAGAGAAAGACUUGCAUGAAAAAAUCYAGUAACCUUUAUUUCCUGCGCAACAACACAAAUGUAUUUACAUACACUGAGCAUGAGGWUCCAAGCUGUUUGAUCAUUCAUAGCUAGACAUGACUACGUACGUCUAUAUGAACUCGACUAAAGCARUUCUAAAUCAGUUUGUACUAAUAGCUUCUUUGCUUGAGUAUAGGGGUAUUUUUUCAUUUCUUUUUGUUUUUCCAAUGACACAACGUGUAUCUAGACGACUGCAUAAAGGUGCAGUAAUACGAGCAAAAUAUCGUGUAUCUUGUCGCGCAAUAUCGUUGCGCUGCAAGCUGCAGAGUGAAUUUGACUCGUAUUAUCACCACGCGAACAACAAAUUAUCUUUGUUCCAGAAAGUUGGGAGAGCUUCUACUUUUGCAGAAGUCGCACAACACGUGGUUUGAAAUGGCAAAGCAUUACGCCCGAGCUAAUGAGGUCGAACGUGCUGGAUCAAGCUUUUAAUGGGCCGUUCGCUAUUUAUGGAGGGGGGGGGGGUAUGACUGGAGAGAAAUUGGCUGAGCGGAGGAGUAGGGGAGAACCACAAUUUUUUUCCUUUUUAUUUCAAGCGGACCUGAAUAAACUCAAUUUGUCUUGGUACACUGUUUAUCCAUUUCAAACCACGUAUCAUUCCCUAGAGAAUAAAGUUCUUUUUGGAAUUGUAUUAGAGCCUAAUAGUAACGCAUGUGCAUGCUCAUAUAUAUAUCUGAUAAACGCAAAGUCUGCUUGGUAACAGAUAAAAGCUAAAGGCUUUUGGAAGGACGAAAUUAGAAGUUAAACGUAAAGAAAGUGCAA